CCAGAAGACACUCGGGAGAGAGUUCUGGGCUGGCAAUCUUGAGGAUGGCCUGAACGUGAUGGACACAUCACCACCAUCAUCACCAUGGGGCCACUCAGAAAACUUACCUGAACACCUGAUGACAUCAUCCGAGACCCAAACUGCAAAGAAUGCUUAACCCCAACAUCUAGGAAGAGGACGAUGACUAAAUCUCUCCUCAGUGGAGGCUGUAACAACUGGAACAAAUGAAGAUAACAAAAUUAGACCUAUGGGACAAUUUCAAAUAGGAGACCAAGCAGCAGCAGCAGUGACAACAAAACAAACCCAAACCCCCACAACGUUUAACUGAAAGGGAGAUAAGACAGUGUGGCAGCCUCACGAGGACAUGUGUCAGGAUGAAGCUUCUCAAAGUGGCGCACGGAGGCCGUGAUCUA